AUUGAACGCUGGCGGCAUGCCUUACACAUGCAAGUCGAACGGCAGCACGGGUGCUUGCACCUGGUGGCGAGUGGCGAACGGGUGAGUAAUACAUCGGAACAUGUCCUGUAGUGGGGGAUAGCCCGGCGAAAGCCGGAUUAAUACCGCAUACGAUCUACGGAUGAAAGCGGGGGACCUUCGGGCCUCGCGCUAUCGGGUUGGCCGAUGGCUGAUUAGCUAGUUGGUGGGGUAAAGGCCUACCAAGGCGACGAUCAGUAGCUGGCCUGAGAGGACGACCAGCCACACUGGGACUGAGACACGGCCCAGACUCCUACGGGAGGCAGCAGUGGGGAAUUUUGGACAAUGGGCGAAAGCCUGAUCCAGCAAUGCCGCGUGUGUGAAGAAGGCCUUCGGGUUGUAAAGCACUUUUGUCCGGAAAGAAAUCCUUGGCCCUAAUACGGUCGGGGGAUGACGGUACCGGAAGAAUAAGCACCGGCUAACUACGUG
rnacentral:rRNA from 1 species